rnacentral:rRNA from 1 species
AUUGAACGCUGGCGGCCGGCUUAACACAUGCAAGUCGAACGAGUGGCGGACGGGUGAGUAAUGCUUGGGAAUCUAGCUUAUGGAGGGGGAUAACUACUGGAAACUGUCUCUAAUACCGCGUACCAUAGUAUGCGCCCAAGUGGGAUUAGGUAGUUGGUGAGGUAAAGGCUCACCAAGCCGACGAUCUCUAGCUGGUCUGAGAGGAUGACCAGCCACACGGGGACGGAGACACGGCCCAGACUCCUACGGGAGGCAGCAGUGGGGAAUAUUGCGCAAUGGGGGCAACCUGACGCAGCCAUGCCGCGUGAAUGAAGAAGGCCGUAGGGUUGUAAAGUUCUUUCGGUAGCGAGGCGUUAACUACAGAAGAAGCACCGGCUAACUCCGUGCCAGCAGCCGCGGUAAUAC